AUGCGCAGGAUGCACCUUGGCUGUGUCCCGGACCACCACCUCCUCGCUCUUCACCUCUGGUCCACGGACAGCCUCAACGCCAAGGAGUUCGCGCUGCUCCGCUCCAUCGUGGCCGCGCGCGCGCCCAGCAGGCUGCUUGUGUUCGGCCUCUCGCCGCAGCUCCUCGCGCUCGCCGCGGUCAACUCCGGGCAGGGCGCUGCCACCGCCUCCGUCACCGACAGCGCCGAGGACGCGCGGGGCGUGCUCGUUGGGCGUGGCCCCAGCAGCUCGGCGGCCGUCCAUGUUUCAAGGUACCCCGACCCGGCCGGGGAGGCAUGGGCGGUGCUGCGGCGCGCGAGGUCGAGCCCGGUGUGCCGGCGCCCGACGGGGACGGUGCGCAAGUUGGGCUGCCGGCUGGUGCUGACCUCCUUGCCGGGGGAGGUGCUCGACGCGAGGUGGGACGUGGUCGUCGUCGACGGGCCGAGCGGGGCAGGUCCCGGGGGGCCGGGGAGGAUGGGCGCCAUGUACACCACGGCCGCGCGCGUGACGGGGCCGAAGCGGUGGACGUGA
rnacentral:rRNA from 1 species